ACUAACGGGAAAGAACCAGGAAAAAAGCGUGCAAUGAACCAUUACCGGAGACGAGGCGGGAACUCUUGGGGGCAACAAAUUAGUGUUGGCAACCAUAGGAAUAAUAAAAUGUUUAUCCAGCAAGCUUGUUCCAGAGAAUCCGAGGCACUGGAAAUCAGGAGAAGUUUGUGGCAGGCAGAAAGAAAGACAGGAUUAGCAGCAUCAAAGCAAAUCCAACAGUUGGGUUUUUUUCCUCCUUUGCAAAUGGCUUGAGGUAAGAAUGAACUCCCUGAAGGGUGCAUUUCAAAGAGUUGCCCUCAGUUCCUAAAGAAGAGCAAUUAGAACUUUAAAAUCUCAAAAGGCGCAGAAACAGAAUGUAAAUUCCUCCAGGAAAGACUUUUGUUUCCUAAACUCAGAAUUUUACCUAAAAGAUAAAUAGGGCAGUUUUGGGAAAUGGUAAAAAGGAUGGGUGGGCUUUUGUUCUUGUUGUAAGACAAGGACGGCUGUUUUCAAUUCCUCAGAGACCUGGGUUGCAUUGAGCUCUGUUUAAAUAAACAUCAUCCUUUUAUGUAAAUCAUUCUGGAUUUAGAUUGAGUUUA